rnacentral:lncRNA from 1 species
AUGUGGCCAACUACGAAGCCCCCAGGCUGGCCAAGGCCAGAGCUCGGUCAGGCGGGAGGAGCGCCCCUUGGGGUCGGGGCCAGUUCAGCGCUCUGGGACGCCUCGUCCCAAGUGACCGCAGCCCGGCCAGGGGGACGCAGCAGCGGCCGCGGCGCUCGGAUACACGUGCGGCCCGGAACUGCAACUCCACCAGGUCGCACGCCCUCCCACGGCCGCCCCGCCAGGCCUCCAGCGCCUCCCCCGCGGCACUCCCACGGUCCGACGCCUCCCUGCAGGCGCUGGCGCCGCACGCGUCUCACCUCCCACGUGGGAACCGACACCUGGCAGCGCAGGAUUCCGGAUACUGACCCGCGCCCGCGCCUAGGGCCCAGAACUACAAAUCCCAGAAAGCCGCGGGCGGGCCACGCCUACUUCCGGCGCCCUCUUCUGGCGCUGAUACCCGCCUUCACGAGGCGCUGCGUCGAGGGGCCACACCAGCACUGGGAUGAGGAGAGUUUUCAGCACCGUGAAUCCUCUCUCCUCCCCAUCACCUUCUUCCCCCGAUCAUGUGUUGUUGCUGUACUUCCCACCUUUCUUCAAACCCUGCUGUUGAUUUUCUCAAAGAUGUUGGGCUCAGCCAACUAAGGACACUGAUGAGUAGAUAACAACUUAAGGGGUGUCCCCCCAGCCAAGCUUAAAUGUAUCACAGGAUAUCCCUAAAGAUCUGGAAAUCUUUAAACCAAAAAACCGUGGCUUUUUAGAUGUUGUAUUAGCAUAAUAGAAAUGUAAAUCUAUAUGGAGUGAGGAGGGUUGGGUCACCAAAUUUGGCAAAUUAUAAUAUAGUAUGUCCAGCCAAAUUUGAAUUUCAGAUAAACAAUGAUUAUUAUUAUUAUUUUUAGAAAAUGUGUGUCCCCUGCAAUAUUUGUCUGAAAAUCAAAUAUUACUGGGCAUCCUGUAUUUUAUCUGGCAACCCUAGGAGAGGGGCAUGCUCCCAUGGACUCUUCGAAAGACUCUUAGUGGGCAAUUGCCAUCUCGUAGGCUAAGCCAGAAGGUGUGCUAUGCCCUGCCUUCAUUUCAGUCACCUGCCUCCGAGAAAGAGGAUACUGAGAGCGGCUGCCCGAAGCCUCUUCACAGAGAGCAUCCUAAGCAGCCCCUCCAGGGUCACCUCCUCUGUCCUCUGUCUUUCCUCUUCUUCAGUGGAAACCUGCACUGUCUGCAUUCCAGGAGCCAAAGCAGAGCAGCAAAAGACAGGGGCUGCGGAGUGAGAUAGCCUGGGUUUAAAUACAGGCUCUGCCACCAGAAAACUAUGGCACCAUGAGCAGGUUUAUCAAUGUCUCUAAGCACUGAUUUCCUCCUCUGUAAAAUGAGGCUCACAAUACCUGCUCCUUCAGGCUGUCGUGAGUUCUACGUGAAAUAACGUACGGAAGGUGCUUAUUCCAGCACCCGGCAAUAAAGGUUAGCUGUUAUCAUCCUCA